rnacentral:rRNA from 1 species
GGACGAACGCUGGCGGCGUGCUUAACACAUGCAAGUCGAGCGGUAAGGCCCUUUCGGGGUACGACGAGCGGCGAACGGGUGAGUAACACGUGGGUGACCUGCCCUCAGCUCUGGGAUAAGCCUGGGAAACCGGGUCUAAUACCGGAUAUGACUCCAUGACGCAUGUUGUGGGGUGGAAAGCCUUGUGCGGCUGAGGAUGGGCCCGCGGCCUAUCAGCUUGUUGGUGGGGUGAGGCCUACCAAGGCGACGACGGGUAGCCGCCUGAGAGGGCGACCGGCCACAC